UCCCUGGCAGCUCAGUCGGUAAAGAGUCUGCCUUUAAUGCAGGAGACCUGGGUUCAAACCCUGGGCUGGGAA
rnacentral:tRNA from 1 species